UCUUCCCUCUUGCCGUUCUCCCCGUUUUCAACUAGCCUUCGAACGAAAAACCCAACUUUCACAUGUUUUCUGGUGGUGGCCGGCCUGCAACCACAACUAUUUAGUUCAGGACACUCCUAACAACAUCAUUCGAGCUUUGAAUGCUCGAACCUACCCAUUGAUUGAAGAGUUCCAUAAGCACAGCUUGCGGCGUUUUUUCCGACGAGAAUCUGAUUUUAUUCUGGCCAAUUUCAGGCCUUUCUGACCUUUUUGUGGGUCUGGGGAAGUGGGCACUGAAGUUGGGUGGAUGAAAUCUUUUUCCUCCUCAGAUCACCACCACCCCCUGUUAGGUUUUUCUUUUUUAUUUCUUUUCUUUCUUCUUCGUUUUCUCUCUUCACUCUCGCACUUCUCUCCGUGACUCUGCUAGCGAUGACAACGAGUUGUUGCUGUCCGAACGCCUGUGAAUUGGACCUCAUUGUUACCGCUAGUCGUGUCCCGUUCAUCUCAGGAACAAGAAACAGCUAUUGCAUGCCUCAAAUCAUUACUGUUUCGACGAGGGUUAACUUAACCCAAUUUGUAUUUUGAUCUCUCUCUUUCUGCAUUUUCGAUAGGUUACAGUUUUUCAGGUUCUAUUGAAAGCCAUUGAUUUUGCGUUAAUUUGAGUCUUUGCGUUAUGAAUUCUGAUAUUUUGCGUUCAAUUUGGGUUUUUGGAAUUUCGAAUUUGUACCCUUUGCUCUAAUUAAUUUUGAUUUCGGCUGUUAUUGUUGGGUCUGAUUAAAUUUCAAACCUUUCGUUUUCGUUCUCAAAGUUUUUCAGUUCUAUCUAUUAAAUGUUUUCGUUCUCAAAAUUUUUGAGUUCUAUCUAUUAAAUAUCAGUUAAAAGACCCGCAUGUAUUUACAGAAAUCAUGUACAAUUAUUAUGUAUUUCAUUCUAAUUUUUGUUUGAUUUUUAACAGUGUUAUUUCAAAUAUGCUAUCAGCCAAGACAACAUGAUGGGACUAACGUAUUUUCCGCUUCAUUGAUGCAGAGAGAAAACAGUGGAAUGACGUUGAUGUUCAACAUCUUCGUUUGGAAAACAAGAUUUUUCCCAAUUUGAUGUGGAAUUAAUGGGAGUUGGAGAAAACCAGUGAAGAUCAAACUCUCUGAAUUCUUCUCUUUGUUUCUAAUUCUUAUGAAGGACUUUGAUAUUCUGCAUUUGGAACUUAGAAUCAAGGUUCUAACUGGUUACCAUAUUUCAGCAGCCACUUUGCUCCAGAUCUUUCCAGUUGAAAUUCCUCUCCUUCACCCUUUGCAUGUUGAAUUUCACAUCAUCAUCAUCUCCCUGGAGUUUGGUUCAUACUAAAUUUAGAUGGUUUCACUUCAUGAAGGCUAACUGUUUAUUUUAGGCCUGGAAUAUAAUUUCUUGGAGAAUGUACAUUGUUGAUGAUAGUUUUUCGAACAAUACUACCCCAAAAAUUCUCCUCAUGUUACCCUCAAUGUAGGCAUCGUAUAACCAUCAUCCAAACUUCUCAACCAUUUAAGGGGCUCAUUCCAACCAAUGUCAUUUGGUUGUAGAACAGCUUUGCAACUUUUUUUUGAUCUCUUAUAUUCUGAUUAGCAUUUUACUCUCUCUCUCUGUCUCUGUCUCUGUCUCUGUCUCUCUAAUUUUCUAUGCAUAUGAAUUGUUUAUUAAAUAUUUUUUUAUUAA